rnacentral:rRNA from 1 species
UACGAAGGGUGCAAGCGUUACUCGGAAUUACUGGGCGUAAAGCGUGCGUAGGUGGUUUGUUAAGUCUGAUGUGAAAGCCCUGGGCUCAACCUGGGAACUGCAUUGGAAACUGGCUUACUAGAGUGCGGUAGAGGGGUGUGGAAUUCCCGGUGUAGCAGUGAAAUGCGUAGAUAUCUGGAGGAACACCGGUGGCGAAGGCGGCAUCCUGGACCGACACUGACGCUGAGGAGCGAAAGCCAGGGGAGCAAACGGG